UUAAAAAAUGCUUUGAUUUUCAUUUUUUAUUUACAAAAACAAAAAAUAAAAUAAGUCAGAGACAGAAACGAAAUAAGAACCGUUUUUCAUUUUCUGAGACCGGAAGUGGUCAUCAGCAAGGGUGGUCAGAUUGAAUCAGAGCCGAGGACUCUCUGUCCCGCCCACAUUUACCGGCUUCUGCUGUUUAUGGACGCUGCUACCGCUGCUGCUAACAACGUUAGCUUCCAAAAGUGGAGAUAAACUCUACAGCCUUGGUCUGGAUCAUUGGGAACAUCUGAUCUGAUGGACUGAGAGCUACAGAGAACGUGAACAUCCAGCUGUGGUUGUCUGAACAGUCUUCUCUCCAUCGCUGUGAGGAAGAGCAGCACUGAUGUCCUCCUCCUCAUCCUUCCAUUAAGAACAAUGAUGCUGCAGAUUAAGCUCCUCUCUUCUUAAUACAACUUGUCUUGUGACUGUUCAGUUUUUACACUUCACUGUCAGCAACACAUUAUUUAUUUCAUCCAUUUAUUACGUGUUUACACAUCUUUACAGUUCACAAUUGUUAAAUAAUGCAGUUUUUAAAUGUGCAAUGAAGGAAAUAAUGAAGCUCUUGAGCUGAAUGUGUUGAUGUUUUAAUGCUGCAUAUCUGCUAUAAAUAACAUUGUACAGGGUUUCUGCAGAUAUCAACCAGUCAAAUUUAAUGCUUUUUAAUGCCAUUUUUAUGCUAUACUGUAAAAAAAUUUAAUGCCACGACCAUGAACUCAAAUUACACGGGUUUGUUAUUUUUUUUUUGUAAAAGAUGAUUUUUAUAUGAAAACCCUACAUUUGACUAUUUCUGAAUCUGGGAACCACCCCUGAACACCAACGGGCUGCAGUCAUUCUCUGAAAUCCACGUUUUUCAGCCAUUUUUGCUAGAAUUUGUGUUUCCCCAUUUCCCAGCCUGGUCCAGCCUGCCAGCCACUUUAAAAACAUGCAGUUUUUAGAAAUUGUACCCACCCGGCUGGAACAAUUAUCUCAAUGCUUUGGCAUGUUUACGCAGAUGGACAUAUCUGACAAAUCGCAGUCUAUAAAUAUAUAUUAUUGUCAAUUAUUUUCUUGAAAACUGCAGAAAGAAAUUUUAAUGCCACCGAGAAUCAAAUUUAAUGAUUUUUAAUGUCAUUUAAGGCCUUAAUUUCUGCAAAAUCAACUUAAUGACUAUUAAUGUUCUGCAGAAACCUUGUUGUAUUUCUGCUACAGCAGCAGAGAUGAAGUUAAAGGUGAUAAAUAGAAUCUGUGAAUACUAAGAACAGAGAAUAAUAAACUGCUGAAAGAGUU